GCAGAGAAACUCAGACCUGGAACAGCAGAGGCCAGAGUAGGCCAUGGGGACUGAGCGCUCAUUCUCAAGAUGUGCAGAGGUUCCAAAGAAAAAGUGGAAAUCAGCGUCUCGGAGAAACGCAUCCCACCUAAAACUCCUGAGAGGACCGUAUGAUUGAUCAGCAAUGUGGAAACAGCAGGGUGGUCCUCACUGGAACUGUGAUACAACUGGUUUGUUUUUUCCCCAGGAUAACUAAGGAUGAUUCUCCUGUUAACUGAAGCUGUGACUCAAGGCAAAUCUUUUCCACUGAAGACUGUUUCUGCAUUAGAAAGUUGCGAAAGUCCCAGAGUUGAAUGACAAAUCUCACCAGUGGUCUGAAGACAUCGGUUCUGUAUGACAUCAACAGGAAGACUAAGAAGGCUUCUUCCACUUUCUCGGUCUCUCAUUGUAUCCGCUGCCUUCACUGCCUGUUUUCACUGGUUGGUUAUCUUCCAAGGAAAUCACCAGAGUGCUGUCAAGCCUGCUGCCUGAGUUCUGUCCCAGUACUAUCAGAUGCUGUGGUGUGCAUCUGUAAUCCCAGGGCUCGUGUGGCGGGAGGCAGAGGCAGCAGAAGCUGUGGAUUCAUCCAGAGCUUGCGGAUCAGCUCCUUGGGACACAGAGCUUGGCAGAUGCAAGAAGAGCUUGCCUCAAGAAAAUGGGAGAGAACUGACUCCCAAAGGUUCUCCUCUGGCCUCUACACAUGUUC